rfam:Endosymbiont of Acanthamoeba sp. TWC8 chromosome, complete genome.
GAUAGACUGAGUGGUUCGUCGAUGGGGCUAAUUUCCUCCGGGGCCGAUAAGUAGCUACAUCGGGAGCCGUCCCUGACAUCUAACCCGGCGUGGUGAUGUUAAAUGGCGCCCACCUUAAUAUAAAGGGCCUGUAGCGGGAAGCUUACCAACGGCCAAGUCAGUUUAUCC